UACGUAGGUGGCAAGCGUUGUCCGGAUUUAUUGGGCGUAAAGCGAGUGCAGGCGGUCUUUUAAGUCUGAUGUGAAAGCCUUCGGCUUAACCGAAGAAGGGCAUCGGAAACUGGGAGACUUGAGUGCAGAAGAGGAGAGUGGAACUCCAUGUGUAGCGGUGAAAUGCGUAGAUAUAUGGAAGAACACCAGUGGCGAAGGCGGCUCUCUGGUCUGUAACUGACGCUGAGGCUCGAAAGCGUGGGUAGCAAAC
rnacentral:rRNA from 1 species